UACUUUUUGCUUAUUGGGUAUACCCAAUAAGAAGUGUCGCUGAAUAUGCUUAAAACACCCCAAUUGGGUAUUUGCAGGUUAGUACCCAACAAAACUUGGACACGACGAUUUGUCCAAAAAAGUGUCCAAAAAAGUUGCUUUCACGGACGCACCGUGUUUUGUAUUUCAGUUUUACAUUCGGAACUCUAAAUUCUCGAGAGUUCCGAAAAUCAACUUCCGUUGAUCCUGAUCAUAACAACGUUUGUUUUCAUGGGAAAAAAUAUGGCGAGUAAGAAACACUUAAUGUCAACAACAUUGUCUGAUUGACAAGAGAAAAGGUCAAACAGGAACUUCAAUUGUGAACAUUGCAGAGAACACACUCAUCAGAAGAUGACCCUCAGAAAUAGGACAAUUAAUGAAUAAAAAGGACAGAGGCAGAUUUGAAGGAGAUGCAUGAAAUGAGGAAUAUUUCAAAGAUUGCCUGAGCCUAACCACUGCUACUGGAUAAACAUAUGGCAAUAUAAAAGAGCAGGGUCAAUGGAGGUAUCAUACAGUAUAGGCCAUGAGAGAUCCUGAAGAAGAAAGUAUGGAAGAGAAACAAAAAUAAAACCAUUUUGACAUUUAUUGAAAUAUAGGAUCAAAAACUUACAUGUAAAAUUUGGGCAUGUAAUGACUUUUCUCUUGCUCUAAGACUUAUAACAGUGAUGAUUUCAUUUAAUAUCUUUAUCCCGAUUUGUCGAAAAGAUUUGGACAUAGUGCAUCAAUUAUUUUAAAGUUUUGAUACAACGAAUUCUUUCAUUGUACUUGUAACUGAGUUUUCUGGUGCGACACUGUUUAAUCGGCUUCAAAACUAAAUUUGUGAUUUCCAAACCAGAUUAAUAAGAUACAUGUAAUAUCUUUUAACAUCGGUGACUAUUAAAUCCAUUCUUUUACAUCUCGGAAGUAUUUUUAUUAUUACAGGGAAAAUAUGCAUUGUACAUGUAUCUGUAAUAAACAGGAUUAUAGAAAUUUUCCAUAUAAUACAACACAAUCUUAGCAACUGAAGGCAAAUAUUCUAUCAAGGGUGUGAUCUAUUUAUCAAUAUGGUUUUCAGCAUCUUGCUCUACCUGUAAUGACUUGCUCAAGUUCCAAUAUUUAAAUUUAAAUUUUGCAAACAUGGUUAUAAAAUUCUUUAAAAGCCAAAUAGUUUAGGCACAAAAUGCUUAUAUAUUUCCUAUCAUUUGUAGAGUGUACACUGAAUGAGAUGUGGAAUGUUAGAAUUAAAGUAUUAAAUAUGUUUUGGACUUAUGUAUGCUUAUGCAGAUAAAUUUGAAUUCAACUAGGGAAGGUAAAUGUCAUACUUAUUUGGUUUGCAAUCUAAUGCAAGAGUAUAAAUAUCCAAGACAAAUUUGACAAUUUUAAUGAAGGGUAUAAGUAACCCAAGAAGAAUUGGACAAGUAAACAUUACCUGUUGGGUUUUAUUCUAAUGUUGGGAUGUAAUAUCCAAGAGGAGUUGAACCAAUGUCCAAUACCUAUUGGGUUUUCUUUCUUAUGAAAAAAAUUUUGAGUUACCCAAGAAGAAUGUCCAAUACCUUUUAAUUUAUAUACUAUUGAAGAGAUGAAGAUAUCCAAGAAGAAUUGGACAGGUGUCCAUUACAUGUUGGGUAGUAUUCUGAUGAGGAGAUUCUCAAGAAACCCAAGAAUUAGACAAGUGUCCAUUGCCUGUUGGGUGGGAUGUAGAUAUCCAAGAGGAGUUGGACAGAUGUCCAUUACCUGUUGAGUGGUAUUCUGAUGAAACAAUUCAAGAAACCCAAGAAGAAUUGGACAAGUGUCCAUUACCUGUUGGGUGAGAUGUAGAUAUCCAAGAGGGGUUGGACAGGUGUCCAUUACCUGUUGGGUUGUAUUUUGAUGAUGCAAUUCAAGAAACCAAAGAAUUAGACAAGUGUCCAU